AGUAUGUAUGGCCCCGUGAGUGGGAUAUAGCUUUAAAGAACCUCCUACGUUUUGGUCCCUCACUGCACAUAGGACUAAUGUUUGCAGGCUCUAUCUACCAUCAUUACUUUUUUUACUCCAACAUUUAUAUAUAUAUAUGGAACCCAUUAAGUGUAAUCACUUUUUGAAUCAUUCUUGUCUAUUGGAUCAUGCUGAAAAUAAAUCCCGACCCUUUAAACUCCUAUUUUUAACUGCUAACAUAGCAGUUCACAGCAGUUUCAUAGUCUCCACAUUUUUCUGCCCAUGUUCUCCACAAAUCAUGUUUUCUAAUCUGGUCCACGUUCUAAUUGUUCCAAACUCAUUCAAACUCCCCAAAACCACCGUUCUGCUCCUUUUCUUGUAAUGCUUUUUAAACCAUCAUCGUUGACGCUCCAAUACUCCGACAAUCCAUCCGUAGUAACAACAAGAGAGCAAUCAAUCCUGCACUCACCACGUCAAUAGCAAUGGCCACCGGUUUGGUCUGGCUGGAGCUUCUUAAUGUUAUUGGCGGGCCACAAAGGGGAAGACUAACGAAUUUCUACACAUCGUACCCGUAUAAUGUUUCGAUUUGAAAUCUGGUUCGUACGACACUGGGGUUUAGUUCUUAUUUGAAGAUGCAGAGACAAAGAAUGAUUUCAGGUGUUCGACAAAAUGCCAAAAAGAAAUUUAGUAUCAUGGAAGGUUAUUGCCUUCACUGGAAAUGCCCUACAGCAACAUGGAGGUUUACAAGCAAAUAAUUUGUGGGUAAGAUUCAUACACGUGAAGAUGGUGGUAAGUAUAUUGGAGAAUUUAAAGGAGGUAUUAAACAUGGGCUUGGGCCUUGCCCACUAUCAUUUCAGCUAUUAGAUCAGAACGAGGUGCAAAAUCUACUCCCAUCAACCCUUAAAGCCCAAAGUUGUGGAUUGAAAGUUGUACUGGAUGGUUUAAGAGCCAGGUGAUGGAGUAUAAGGCAGAAAAUGAAGUAGAAGCUUAUGACACAACCAAGAUACUUACUUUGGAAAUUUGAUUGGCGCUUAAGAAAGUCUUCAAAUUAGCUAAUAUGAAUUUCAGAGGUGAACACCAAAACGUGGGUGAUGGAAAAGAAAGCAGAAAAUGAAGCAGAAGCGUUGAAGUGGGUGUGGAGGCUUGAGAACAUUAAUGAUACUUUCAUGGAGAACCUAUGGUACCUGACUUGGUAUACUUCAACUAUCCUUAUUUUAUCAUUAACUAUAUUUUACCAGUAGUUAAAUUUGUAUGAUUAUAAAGUCUUAACUGUAAAAAUUGAUGGGAAUGACCCAAUCUGCAUGUUAUAUAAUAUUAGUUCAGUUUUAACUCCAAAUAACGUGAUAAGUAAAUAUGUGUCAUAUCAUUCACUUAUCUCUUAAGAUAUACAAGGAUCUAUACUGAACCAUAGUUUGCGUUCUGUUACCUAUUAUAAUUGAAAAAUAGACUCAGGUCACUACUUGGGUCUGCUUAUUUAUUGGAUAUAGAAAAAUGGAUGGGAUGACUCAUUUUGGUAAUAGACUUAUUUAUUGGAUAUAGAAAAAUGGAUGGGAUGACUCAUUUUGGUAAUAGACUGGUCAAAAUGAGUGCUUCUAAUUAGAGGUAGCAACAUGUACACGCGGUUAGCUUAAAUAAUAGCGUCAAGAUGUUCGGCUUAACCGUACACGCUGCAAAAACAGGUUGGUCAAGCCAACCUGGAUAUUGCUUAACAUGCUGAGCCUACACAUGGUAUAAUAAUAUACCAGCCGGAAGCAUUCACCCAUGGAGAUAGAUGGUCAAAAAUCCAUCUAGAAAGAGCACACAAAAGCUUAAUCUAUGGUUUUGUAAAUGGGAAAAUACGUUUUUGUUAAAAUGAGUGCUUUUUAUUAAAAAAUAUCCACGUCAAACUGGAAGUUUGUUUAUUCAUUUAGGGGUAAUAAACCUAGUGGUAGAUUAAAGUGAUUUGGAGAUAGAUGUAUAACUUCAUUGGCCCUUUGAGGAAGUCGAGACUUUGAGAUAAAAAGGCCAGAAGAGAUUGAGCUAGAGCCCAAUUCCAUUAAUUCACUCGAUACAGGAACAACUACACAGGUUUUAUACUUCUAUUAUCAAUUUUAAUUUCUAUCGUUUUGUGGUUGUAAACUGUUGACGUUCGUUUUCCAUUUAUAAAUUAAAGAAUGGUGCUUUUGUUUGUCACAUUGUUUAAUUUUGUGUACGCUUAACAUAUGUUAGCUUGGUUUGUCACGUUGUACGCUUAACAGGUACAUUGUUCUACUAUCCACCCAUAGUUAUUGAUGCAUUUGUUUUAAAGCUCGAGACAUCAUAAUUUUCAUUUCAUUUCAUAGUGUUUAUGAGUUUUUCUAUAACAAUCAUCAGACCAUUGGAUGCACGUGGGAUCCACAAAGUAUGGGUGCUAAACGGGUCGUGUUCACGGGUUGGCAAGUUCAACCCGACACGAACCCGAAAACUUUAGACGGACCCGAACCUGAAAAUCGUGCCAUAUAUAUGAACCUGAACCCGACCCGAAUAUUCGCAUACUGACCCGAAACCAACCCGUUCAACCCGAAUUUUUUAUUUUUUUAUUUUUUUUCAGCAAAUUAAUAUAUUAAUAUUAUACAAUAAAAUUACAUUAAAAUCAUAAAAAUUUAUGUCAACUUCAAUUUUUAAGUUAUAUUUAUAGCAUAAAAUACACACCCAACUUAAUUUAUCACAAUAAACAUAUUUUAAAAAAUAUAAUAUAAUAGAAAUGAGUUAAACGGGUCAACCCGUCAACCCGACUGGGUUGACCCGAACCUGACCUAUUUAGCUAAACGGGUUCGCGGGUUCAAACUGAAACUGACCCGAACCCGUUUAGACUAAACCCAAACCCACGAAUUUCGUGUUAGGUUCGUGUCGUGUUUUCGGGUCGUGUCAGAAAUUCACACCCCUACCACAAAGGCAAAGUUUCUUUCGCUUUCAGUUUGCCUAAAUGCAGGUGUCUCUUCACCAGAAUUUAUACUCAGAAGAGAAUUUGUAAGAGUUCUAUAAACAGAAGACAUGAACAAAAUCAGACUAGAGAGAUGGUUGUAUGAAGUUAUAGUUGAAAGGUGUUGGUGGAAAGCAAAAUCCCUAUUGAAAUCCAUAAAAAUGCACAGCCACAGUGCCAUCACUAAGGAGAAAGAUAUGCCUUGGUGUUAGUUUCCAACACCAGGAUUUAUUCAGGAGAUAAUUUUUAAAGAUGGAUUCGACAAAUCAUGGGAGUCUAUCAGAUCGUAUCAUGAGUUACGAUGGUGAUUCUUCAAGGGAAAUGGUUGAAUCUGCAUUUGAGUCUGCAAAAAUUUUUAUAAAAUUGUCACUUAUGUCACUACCACAAUUUUGAAUUUUCCUGUGAAAGUAAGCAAUCCCGUAAUGAUGGUUCAAGCAUAUCAUCUUCUUGUGGCUAAAAUGUAUGUUUAGUGUAGGGAUUGUGUCAAUAUAUAUAUUAAGCCCAAGCAGCCUAACCGUCAUUGAUAUCAAUCCCCACCGUUAGAUAUUGCUGAAACUAAAUCCUGACCGUUUAAACUCCACUUUUUUAACUGUUGUUGUGGCAGUUGUGGGCGGUUUAUUUCUCAUCGUUGGUUAACCCACUCUCCUUUUUCUCAUCCUAAAUCCUUGCUACCACAACCGCACCUCCCGUAGGUUCUUUAACGGUUCGUCCCCAAACCUUCCAUUCUCAUUCUUAGAUUUACAUUCUUCAACUGUUCACCCAAACCCUGCAGCGAUUCAAAGUUCAUCCAACUUUACAAUCUCUUCUGCCUUAUUUCUUAUACUCUUUAUCUUUUUAUAUUUCUGGGAAAUUAGUGUGGAUCAAGCAAGCAUGACUUCUGUUGCAAAAGUAUUGAAGGUUUGACCCGACCGGGUCUUUAAGUACAUCUUACAAGUUAUCAUAAUCCGGUGGAUGGGUUACGCUAACAGCGUAACAAUGCUCCACCCGUGUCAUCCACUCCACCGGUAUCCAUUUUUAGGGCAUCCACACCGCUUACUACCACAAAUCACCGUCGCUCUUCCCAAACCUGUGUCACCUACAAACCAACUCUACUUUUCUUAGACUAUACGGAGGGGGGGCAUGAAAGAGUUGCGUUAUUCGACAUGUGACUUGCACGUCAGCACAUGUAAGAAAAAAGUGGCGUGGUGCAAAAAAGGGAGGAGUGGGAGCGGCGUGGUUAGUGACAUUUUUAUAAAAAAAAACUAAUAAUAAAUAUCAACCAAAACACAUCCGAUAUCCACCCACCAAUCAAGAGCCUCCACCUCACAACCCAAAUACACCCUACGCCGGUGGAAAACUCCACGCCCUCACUACCACGCCACCACAAGAGGUGGUGUUCUCGGUUAAAAGGGCCACUACGCCACUAUUCCACGCCCACACCACGUGGUCUCAAGAAUUAAAUAUCCUCAUAUUACUCUUGAAACACUGAAAAGUUGAUUGCACAUCAAAAGUUAAAGGUCAAAAACUAAUUGACAUAAUUAAUUGUAAUAAAAAUCAGUUUUAAUCCGUA